rnacentral:rRNA from 1 species
CCUACGGGAGGCUGCAGUCGAGAAUCUUUCACAAUGGGGGCAACCCUGAUGGAGCGACGCCGCGUGGAGGAUAAGGUCUUCGGAUUGUAAACUCCUUUCAUGCGAGAACAAGGUUGCAGGGCUAACACCUUUGCAAAUUGAUGGUACCGCAAGAGGAAGAGACGGCUAACUCUGUGCCAGCAGCCGCGGUAAUACAGAGGUGUCAAGCGUUGUUCGGAAUCGCUCGUAGGUGGGGGGGUGUGUCAGGCGUGAAAGCCCGGGGCUCAACCUCGGAAUUGCAUCCGAUACUGCCAUGCUGGAGUACUGAAGAGGUGACUAGAAUUCUAGGUGUAGCAGUGAAAUGCGUAGAUAUCUAGAGGAAUACCAGCGGCGAAGGCAGGUCACUGGGCAGUUACUGACACUGAGGCACGAAGGCCAGGGGAGCAAACGGGAUUAGAUACCCCUGUAGUC